rnacentral:lncRNA from 1 species
AAAGGUGGGGUGGUACUGGAGUGGGAAAAGGAAAAUCGGGAAAAUGCUUGAAUGGUGCAAUGGUUCUUUUAAAAAAAAUUGAAUAUUAGAAGAAGGACCUUGUAAAUAUGUGGUCCUAAAAUAUUGAAUGCCAUGAAAUAUCCAGUUGCACCUAGGAAAAGUGAGGGGUAGCUUAUGAAACAAGUGCGGAAGAAUGACUAGGCUGAACAUGGAAAUUGGAAUAAAGG